GAGUUAAUGUCAGACACGGGAUCAGGAUGCUCAUGUGGGAGACAUGUGCUGUGCUCUCAAUCACUCUCAGCUUACUUUACCGAAACAGCCUGCAAGACAUUGGGAAUCAACCGAUUGCUGAAAUAUCAGUUGAAGAGAGUAAAGAUGUGAAAUUAUCCUGCACCUUAAAGAAAAUAAGUGACGCGUACGGUCUGUUUUGGUACCGACAAGCCUCCAGGAACGCUCCUGUCUACAUUCUUCAGUCUGUUGCAGGGAAGGAUAAUAAGAGCCCAGACUUCCAACAUCGAUUUUCCUCCAAAGUCGAUAAAACGAACGAAGAUUUCAAACUGAGUAUUGCCAACGUCCUGAUCGGGGACAGUGCCGUGUAUUACUGCGCCAAGAGGCCCACACUGCUGCCGAGCUGUGGCGGCACCGUACAAAAACUGCAAGCGGUUCAUUUGCUGCUGAAACGCGAGGGGGAACCAUUGCAUCAAAGACAUGUCCGUGAUGGAAGAGAACCAAUGGAGGAGAGAGAUGGCAGCGCAGAGAAGAUGACGAGCAACGAGAGGGACACAAGUUUAGUACAUAACCCUCAGAUCUGCUCCUUCACGGCAUAUGGCAACUUCUGUGUAUGA